AGUGAACGCUGGCGGUAGGCCUAACACAUGCAAGUCGAACGGCAGCACAGGAGAGCUUGCUCUCUGGGUGGCGAGUGGCGGACGGGUGAGGAAUACAUCGGAAUCUACUCUGUCGUGGGGGAUAACGUAGUGAAACUUACGCUAAUACCGCAUACGACCUACGGGUGAAAGCAGGGGACCUUCGGGCCUUGCACGAUUGAAUGAGCCGAUGUCGGAUUAGCUAGUUGGCGGGGUAAAGGCCCACCAAGGCGACGAUCCGUAGCUGGUCUGAGAGGAUGAUCAGCCACACUGGAACUGAGACACGGUCCAGACUCCUACGGGAGGCAGCAGUGGGGAAUAUUGGACAAUGGGCGCAAGCCUGAUCCAGCCAUACCGCGUGGGUGAAGAAGGCCUUCGGGUUGUAAAGCCCUUUUGUUGGGAAAGAAAUCCAGCUGGCUAAUACCUGGUUGGGAUGACGGUACCCAAAGAAUAAGCACCGGCUAACUUCGUGCCAGCCGCCGCCGUAA
rnacentral:rRNA from 1 species